rnacentral:rRNA from 1 species
CAGGCCUAACACAUGCAAGUCGAACGGUAGUAGCAAUACUAUAGUGGCAAACGGGUGCGUAACGCGUAAGCAACCUGCCUCAAACUGGGGGAUAGCCCGGCGAAAGCUGGGGUAAACCCGCACGGUCCUAUGGAGUCACCUGGCUUUUUAGGUAAACAUUCAUGGGUUUGAGAGGGGCUUGCGUCUGAUUAGCUAGUUGGUUGGGGUAACGGCUCACCAAGGCGAUGAUCAGUAGGGGUUCUGAGAGGAUUGGCCCCCACAUGGGUACUGAGAUACGGACCCAACUCCUACGGGAGGCAGCAGUAGGGAAUAUUGGGCAAUGGGCGAGAGCCUGACCCAGCCAUGCCGCGUGCCGGAUGAAGGCGCUCAGCGUUGUAAACGGCUUUUGACUGGGAAGAACCCCAGGUUUGCGAACUUGUAUGUCGGUACCGGCAGAAUAAGCACCGGCUAACUCCGUGCCAGCACCCCGUAAU